rnacentral:ncRNA from 1 species
UAUAAAUCUGUGAUAAAGAGAGUAGUUAUGAAUGAUUUUAUAGCGAAUUAGGGUUGGUGUGAGCCUAAUAUUGAAGUCAUAAUGAAGCGCACUUUUGAGAUGUUAGCCCGAAAAUAAGUAGGGAUGACCGGUUCGCUAACCGUUAUUUCAGCUUAAAGUAGGUUCAUGUUUUUAUUGAACAAAUAGAGUGGUACCGCGGGUUAGCCUCGUCUCUUAU